rnacentral:lncRNA from 1 species
AGUUGCUUUUUUAUGAGGAUGGUGAACCCAAAGUUGAUGGUGAAGCUGGAGAUCUUAAGUUCAGGAUCCAAACAGCACCACAUGAGCGCUUCAGAAGAGAAGGCAACGAUCUGCAUACAACUGUGACAAUUUCACUGGUCCAAGCUCUUGUUGGUUUUGAAAAGACCAUCAAGCAUCUUGAUGAACAUUUAGUGGAAAUUGGCACAAAGGGAAUCACUAAACCUAAAGAGGUGAGGAAGUUCAAAGGGGAAGGCAUGCCUUUGCACCUAAGUACAAAGAAAGGAGAUUUGUAUGUGACGUAUGAAGUUUUGUUCCCCAAGUCACUAACCGAAGAUCAGAAGACUAAGAUCAAGGCAAUUCUUUCUUAAAGCUGGCGUUCUCUCCAUUGGUAUUACUUGGUUCUCCUUUGUACUUUGACUAGGUUUAAUUGGAAGGUGUACAGCCCCUGGAAUUUUCCCAAGUGGCUCCUAUUUGAAUGAUGUCAUUGACUGUAAUCCUUGUUGGCUGCCUGUUUCCAUAGGAUGCUGUCACCUCUUCUCUUUUUUCCCCCUUUCUUUUUUUUAAAAUUUUUUUGGGCAAUAGAUGUACUUUAGAAAAGGAAACUGAUUAAUUGGAAUUUGAUCCUGAUCUUUCUCUCCCUUAUCUCAACUAGGGCGAAAGAAAAACAUAUAUUAUAGAAUCAUGCUUGGUUAUGUAAUUCCAUUUCCACGAGACAAUUUAUGUGGACACUGCUCUCAAAAUGUAUCCAAAAUGAUGAAUUAAGAUUUUCCUUGUUAUAUUUUGUUCACAGGCGUGCUUGUCAAUAAAGCGGCAGCUAGAGGAAGUCGGAGUCGGCGACGGGCGGGCUUCUCCUCCGGGCUGCACUGUGAUGUAGUCGGCCGAUUCUCCACCAAAAAAGGUAUGUGUAGUUUGUGUAUGUUAGAUGUUUGAUGAAAUGCCACAAAGAACAGAGAUAUACUCCUGAAAAGAAUGGACGUGCCAGAUCCCGACGAUCCUGACGAUGCCUGCCGCCGCCGAAGAAGAAGUGGCCGGUGCCCGGUGGUGGGCUACGAGAGAAGAGAUGAGAAAAGGAGAGGAAAAAGGGAAGGAAAAACCAGGGACUGCUUCAAGAUCUCUAUUGCUCUGAUACCAUGAUGAAAUAGAGAAAGAAGGGAGUAAGACAAGGAAGGAUAAUGUUUUCUUGUUUUUUAGGAAACAGCCAUAGCCCACCUUUUAUAAGGGGAAGGUGGCUAUCCUAUACAGUUACAACAGCUAAAGUGUCAGGUAUUACAAUGGCUAUAUUAUUAGGUCAUGUACAAUCAUGUCACUAGCUAAGCUAAUGUACAGCUAAGCUAAAGCUAAGCUAACAGUUAUUUUGAUCACCCAGUUUACUGGGGUCAAUAUGAUAUCCUUAUCUCCACUCAGUCACAUAAUAAAAAUCAACAGUACAUCUUAAAUUUAUUUUAUCCGCAUCUUAGAGUAAUUCUUAAGUUCUUCCUUCUCAUGCCCAUCCAGAACACUUUCAUUGGCUUGUCAUGCUGAACUGUUAAUUGGAAGUGAUAGUAUACCUUUUUAGUUGGUGUAGGGAAGUGGCUUCUGUCUUGCAGGGUGAGAAUAGGUAAAGAAACAUGGGAAGGACCUAACUAAAAUGAUAAUGUCCCAUCCAUCCUGGAAGCCUUAGAUAUGUGCAAAUGUUGAUCUAUUGAAAUAGUUUAAAUCUAAAUAUACAAAGUAGUUUAGUUGAAUGAAUGAAUGAAAGUGUGACUUUAUAGUAAGUUCGGUGCCUAGUUGUUUGUGGUUCGCCACACCAGAUUGUGCCGCCCAGUACCAGGCAUACUAUACUAUAUUGGUAGCGAACUGAUACUCGGUAUAAUCGGUAUGGAAGGCAUACAGAGUGUUGGUACAAUGAGAUGACCCGAUAUUGUACUAAAAUAGUAACAUGUACCUAAAAGAGUACUGCGAGCCAUUAUCUAGUCAUUAUAGUAAUUGUGUGGGUGAUAGCAAGGUCCUUGGCUCAAGGGUCACCUAGACAAUUUGACCAAUACGGUUGCAACUCUAUAUAUCUCAUAGUUGAGAGCAUUUAAGAUGGUUUUAUCAUUGAUUAUCAAUUCUUUCUGCUGAUUUUAUAUGCUUUUGUUUUCACACUCCUUCGUAUUGGGUUGUUUUUCACAAUCUUGUUUCCUCUUUACUGCUGCUUUGAUAUUUGCAACUGCUUCUAUGAUGAUUUUUGCCUGGCUGUUAAUGCGUUUUCAAUGAGCCAUCUUGCAUAUGCAUAAUGCAUAAUACAUUAUACUAUUACCCCCUUUUGCAUUACAUUUGCCUUUUUUUUUUUUUUGCGAGUGUUGCUUUCAUACAUUAUCUCAUACAGUAAGUAUUGCUAGUUUUAUCAUGUUGUAUCUAAAGUACAUGCAUUUUAUUGGCUUACCUAAUUAUAAAUCAAGUAUUGCUGGCAUUGCUUACAUAUAAGGUUUCUUUCAGUUUCUUUGGAGGUGGUAUGGCUGAAGAAGAGGAAGAGGUGAUAGCAAAAGGUGAUGAUGUAGUUGUUGAAUUGGAUGCCACACUAGAAGAUUUAUACAUGGGAGGUUCAUUAAAGGUAAUUUUACUCUCUUCAUAAUUUUCUUAAGGCCAUUCAUUAUCUAAAACUUCUUCUGCAAACCACCGUAGACAUCAUUGCUAUUAUCGUUUCUUUUUAGAUCAAUGCCUUAUAUGUGAAUUGUGCCACUGUAAUUUUUAUGGUCCUAUAUUCUUGUUCAGGAUGAGGACUUUUUUGGGUUUUUGAUGUUCCCCUUUUGCUUUUCUAGUUUAUAACUGCAUUAUUUCUUGAAACAUAAUUUUAAAUUGAUUUUGCAUACUAUGAACUGGAGCAUGUCUUUGAGAUAACCUGUUUCUUAUGAAUUCCAAAUCACCUUACUUUGUCUUCUUUGGUGAGAUAUCUUAUAGGUUUGGAGGGAGAAAAAUGUUGUAAAGCCAGCCCCUGGUAAGAGGCGUUGUAACUGCAGGAAUGAAGUUUAUCAUAGGCAAAUUGGGCCGGGAAUGUUUCAGCAGAUGACAGAACAGGUUCAUUCUCUUUCAAAAGAUUCCUUGCUAGGUAGCUCUGCCAUGUGUGGAUGAGACUUUCUCAAACAAAGAGCAGUUUAGGCCCCGCUAUUUUUGUUGUCAUUCGAAUGUGCACUGAUAGGGAUAAAUAAUUAUAUAUGAACUUUUAUUCUUAAAUAAAUUUCACCUUCAGAACAUGUUUAAGUUGAAAAAGUUUUAUUUAGAUUUCAUAUGUUUCUUUUUCAGGUCUGCGAGCAAUGUUCAAACGUGAAAUUUGAGCGAGAAGGUUAUUUUAUCACUGUUGAUAUUGAGAAGGGGAUGCAAGAUGGACAAGUAAGCUUCUAAGCCUCAAAACUGACUCAAACAUUAUUUAUAGGUUAUCAUUAUUCCGAAUAAAGUCUUCUUGAGCCAGUGUUUUCUAUGUAUUACACUACUGCUUGUUCCUGCCCGAUACAUAUGGGGUUUUCUAUUUUUUUUUUACUUACCAUCCAGUGGCAGUAUCUUCAUGGAUGUUCUUAGGCUGCUUAGUUUUUCAAACUUAUGAUUUGCCACUAGUUUUACUAUGUUAUUUAUACUACUGGACAUUGCAUCACAUUCUUAUCAAAAAUUAUUCAUAUUUUGGAUAUUUUCUCAGUUCCUUUAUUUGAUCAAACCUUCACACUAAUAGACCUACAUCUAUAUUUGAAUAUGCUUAUUAAAAUGCAUGCUACUGCUGGGCAAAACAAAGUCAUUUUGAUUAACCCUGAUUUGUAUCAAUUAGCAUGUCUAUUUAUCCAUUUUACUGGUAGUUACACUAUUUCUUAGGCUUUCAUCUAUGUUUCAUCUUUAUGUUUAUUUUUGUAUAUUCUAUUUCCUUCAUAUUAAUUAUCUCAUCUGCAUGCUGAACUUCAUUUGGCAAAUCCUAUACCAUCUUCAUUGUGUUGGCAGAGAGUUCAAUCCAGGCUCUAUGAUAUGCGUAGCAUAUUCUUCUCUUAUUUCUUAUGAGUGACCAACUAAAAAUUUAUCUUCGUUUAGCAAAGUUUGCGGUACCAAUUGGUACGUACCAUAUCAGUGCUGAACCAGUACACGGUAUUAGGGAUGUACUAAUUGUCGAUGCACCGAAGUGGGUACCGUAUCGGAUGUGUACCGAUAAAGUAGUAGGAUGGUAUUGGUAUAGGUCCGCUACCAAGAUGGUGAACCUAUUUAGGCCCUAUUUGGAGAGCUGUUGGCAGUAGAGCUUUUGGAAGUAGAGCUUUCUGAAGUAGAGCUUUUAUAAAAAGUUGUUUGCUGUUUGAUAACUACAUUUCUAAAGUGUUGUGGCACUUUAACAUGUAUUUGGUAAACAAACUGAGAAAGUAUUUUUGGUAUGACAAAAUGACCAUAAAGGACAUUGCAUAGUAUUAUACAAUAGAACAUAAUAAAAUAUAAUAUAUAUUAAUACAUAAAUAUAUGAUACAGUAUAAUAUUAUUAUAAUGUAAUAUAAUAUUAUUAUAAUAUAGUAAUAUAAUAUUGUAUACUAUAGCAUAAUAAUUUAAUAUAAUAUUAAAUUAAUUAACAUAACAUAUCAAUGUAUUAUGAUAUAAUGUAAUAUAAUAUUAUAUUUAUAGUAUAAUACAAUAACAAAGGUAUAAAAUAUCAUAAUUAUUAGCGUAAAUUAAUUUUUCAUAAUAUAACAUAAUAUUAAAUUAUUUAACAUAACAUAUUAAUGUAUUAUGAUAUAAUGUAAUAUAAUAUGAUAUUUAUAGUAUAAUACAAUAAUAAAGGUAUAAAAUAUUAAAAUUAUUAGUGUAAAUUAAUUUUCUAUCCUCCUGCAGAUUUUCAUAAUUAUGAAGGGACAUUUUGUGUAAUUGUUAUAUUUUAUCAUGGGUAUUUUGGUCUAAAAAACAGCUUUCCGACGGGGCCUAAAAGUGCUUUUCCAGAAAGCUUCAAAAUAGAGUUUCUUCCAAAAAGUUAUUCUUAGCUUUCUGAAAAAGCUAAAAUAGCUUUUCAAAAUUUUUACCAAACAUCCUUAUUUCAUCUAAAAGUGCUUUUGAAGGACCAGAAAGUGCUUUUUGACCCUCCNNNNNNNNNNCUCCCCCAAACGGGCCUUAGUAUGUAUGUUGAAGCUGCUCUUCUAUCUGAGUUCUAAACUAAUUCAGGCUUGUUGCAUCAUAAAUAUAUGUAUUUUCCUUAUUCAAUUUUAUUGUGACUCAUAAGUGUCAAUCUAUAAACCUUGCAUAGGAGUUGCUUUUUUAUGAGGAUGGUGAACCCAAAGUUGAUGGUGAAGCUGGAGAUCUUAAGGUCUCUCUCUCUCUCUCUCUCUCACCCUCUCUCCACUCCCUUUAAAAAAUGAAACUUACCACUUUAAAACUACAUUAUCAUUUAACCCAAUCAUUUUCAUGAGCAGUUCAGGAUCCAAACAGCACCACAUGAGCGCUUCAGAAGAGAAGGCAAUGAUCUGCAUACAACUGUGACAAUUUCACUGGUGACAACUUUUCUUCAUUUUUUUUCCCUUUUGUCUGACUAUGAUUUAUUUCUACUGAAGUUGACCACCAUUACUGCUGUGAUUCAUAGAUCUACAUGUUUUUGUAAAUUUCACUUGGUAUUUUGUUCCGAUCUAGAGCUGUGUGCUGCUAUUAUGAUUUUAAUGUAACCGUGACUGGGUUGUCUGGAUUGUGUUUUCAUGUCAAGUAAGAGUAUGGAUUUUGCAGCGAUCCUGGAUCUCAUCUGUUUAUUUCCUGAUUUAAAGAACUUCUUUGUGUGAUUUCUCUUAUGUUGCUAACUUUGGAAAUCAAAGUUCCAAUCAUCAAACGAACUUGUGCUAGCAGUUUAGAGGAGGUUGCUCUCAAUACAGAAAUCUAAAAACAUCUUUGAGCAUGGCCUACUUUCAGAAUAUUUUACUGAAAAUUAGUAUUGUUAUGUGAUGAAUAGUAUAAUCAUGGGAAUAAAUCAUAUUAGGCAGUCCUGACUAAGAAGUAUGCAUGCUGGUGGGUGCUUCCAUGUGUUGAUUAGUCAACUAAUUACCAUAUUUAUGUCAUGCAGUAAUUUUAAUGAGGGAUCAGUGCUAUGAGCCCGCAUAUUCCUACGAAAUCAAAAGAACAUGGCGUCGCAUAGUUUAUCAUGUCAUUAACUGGCAGACAGAUUAACAGAAAACCUACAGUAAUGAGUUUUUUUAUGCUCUUUUUUUCUUAUGUAGUUUUUCUUUUUUAGUGGGAAAGAAGGGGCACUGCUGGUAUUUCCUUGUUGAUGCCAAACUUAUUUUUAUUGAUCAUACAGUGAUUGCAGUGUAGUGAAUUGCUUUAGUAUUGGAGACAUAGAUGCCUAUAGCCUGCAAUGCCUGCAAUAUUGACCUUAUAAAUUAUCAAUAUAAUCUACAUGGUGAAGUUUGACUUCCAGGGAUUUUCUGAUGCUUGCCUAUUCUAUUUUCUCUCUUGGUUUGCCUUGAGGCAUGAGCUUCAUAAAAUUUUUACCUCUGAAGUUUCUGUUUUCUGCCACUUAUAAAGAAAUACUACACUUUCCAGAUUCUUUGGGCUUCAUAUCUGUUUGUAACCAGGAUUUUAAAACUCGGUUUGGUCUCCAAGUUAAGCUUUGGUUUUGGUAGUUUCACUCUAAGUUUCAAAGUUUUGGUAAAGUGAAGAAAAAAUCCAUAAAAAAUAAAAAUUAGGAUAAAUAAAAGAAACUGAGGCAAGUUAUUUUACAUCAUUUUAUUAUGUUUUGAGUUAUUUGCAGUGAUAAUUUGUGCAGCUUAGGUAGUUUUAGGCUGAAAAUUCUUGUACCCUCUAAUAAUUUCCCCUCAGAGAUUUUUUUUCACCCUUUUGGAAGUUUGAGGAUUAUAUAUCUUCAAACUACUAAAACAAACCUAUCUAUUCAAUUAGAAACUUAGGAUAGACUGAGGAUAGAGACACUACACACCAGGUAGAAUCCUAUCUCUAAUGUCCUUAAUAGUGACUGCAAGUAGCCCUUUAUUUAUCAAUAAUCACAUGCUAUCAACAAACAAAUGAGUAUAGAUAGAGAUAGAAAAGCAAAAAAAAAAAAAGGCAUUCCGGGUUGUCGAGCCUAACCACCCCUCUUUUUUCUCUUCUUUUUCUGCAGCAUCUAAGCUUUGUUGUAAUGUUUCAAAUUUGAAAUCACAUUUCAUAAAAAAAUUGAGAUCACAUAAAUGUCUUAAUGCCUGAUGAUCGAUGCGGUAAUGAAUAAAUUUGUGUUUGAAUGAAAUUAUUGAUGAAUAAUAUUAAUGAUUAAAUGAUAUUAAUGAGUUUUAUAAAAUAGUAAGCACAUUUACUCUGGCAAUUUGAAAAAAGGAAAAAAAAACAAAAACAGCUGUUUCGGUCAGUUUUGGCUAAAACUGACCAGAACCAACCGAAACCGACCGAAACUGACAGAAACUUGAAACUCUCUUGUAACACAAGCCUUCUAUUCCGUAAAACUGGUCUUACUUUUGUGAACAAUUGGAGAGAUUUUGCUUCAUGUAGAUAGACAUCAAUAAGAAGGUAAGGAAGAGCAUCACAUGUUUUGAAACUGGUUUUGAAUGUUUUGUUUUAGCUCCACCCUAAAGAAGUUUCACUUUCUAAACCUUCUAAAAGUAUGUGCAACAACUCAUUGGGAAUAUUGAAUAAGUUAUCAUCAGCUGAAAUCUUACGAACUUCAGUACUAAGCCUUAACUAAGAGGCUUUACCUGUCUCUCUGGGUCUGGUUUUAUGAUCCUCAUGUAUUGGGUUGUGCUCUGAUCACCAUUAAUGUUUGUGUUCUUUUUUUAGUUUUGUAACUUUUGGGUGAAUUUCAGAUUUCAUUAACUGGAAAAGAGACCUGGAGUCGUCAUCUCUGUUGUAUCUACCCUUGACAUACCUUAGAGGACUUGCAUCCUAAAUUUACCAGAUAAAUUUAGGGAAGGAUGUCUGCUAAACCAUGGAUACUUACAAAUCACAUCCCUUUCACUGUUUUCGCUCCCCUCUAACCAAAAAAAAAAAAACACAAGAACUGCUAAGGGACAAGGGAAAACAGUGCUGCUUUUCCCAGGUCGAUGUUUGGAAUUAUAUCAAUCUAUAGAAAGGAAAGUCACAAAUUAUUGUGCUUGGUUUUUCAAUACUGAAGAUAAAAGGAAGCAUUUUAUGGACAUCUGAACCUGGAAUAUUUAUUCUCCUUUUUUGUUUAACUUCUUGGUUUUCAUAUAUGAUGUUGAUCUAUUAACUCCCUGCUUAUUUCAGGUCCAAGCUCUUGUUGGUUUCGAAAAGACCAUCAAGCAUCUUGAUGAACAUUUAGUGGAAAUUGGCACAAAGGUUUGCAAAUAACCAUGAUCUUGGUCAGCCAUAUGAACUUGUCAAUUUUCCUCCACUUUUUAAAUGAUUUGGUCAAAAUUUGCAGGGAAUCACUAAACCUAAAGAGGUGAGGAAGUUCAAAGGGGAAGGCAUGCCUUUGCACCUAAGUACAAAGAAAGGAGAUUUGUAUGUGACGUAUGAAGUUUUGUUCCCCAAGUCACUAACCGAAGAUCAGAAGACUAGGAUCAAGGCAAUUCUUUCUUAAAGCUGGCGUUCUCUCCAUUGGUACUACUUGGUUCUCCUUUGUACUUUGACUAGGUUUAAUUGGAAGGUGUACAGCCCCUGGAAUUUUCCCAAGUGGCUCCUAUUUGAAUGAUGUCAUUGACUGUAAUCCUUGUUGGCUGCCUGUUUCCAUAGGAUGCUGUCACCUCUUCUCUUUUUUUCCCCCUUUCUUUUUUUUUAAAAUUUUUUUGGGCAAUAGAUGUACUUUAGAAAAGGAAACUGAUUAAUUGGAAUUUGAUCCUGAUCUUUCUCUCCCUUAUCUCAACUAGGGCGAAAGAAAAACAUAUAUUAUAGAAUCAUGCUUGGUUAUGUAAUUCCAUUUCCACGAGACAAUUUAUGUGGACACUGCUCUCAAAAUGUAUCCAAAAUGAUGAAUUAAGAUUUUCCUUGUUAUAUUUUGUUCAUUGUUAUAUUCAUUGUUUGGCUGGUUGAUAAUCUUGUUCUUCCCAUUUAUUCUCUUUUUAUUUCUCUUUGUUGGUCUAAAAAUCCUAUUAGUUAAUGUAGAACAUGCCGUGUCAUCCUUUGUAGUAUGACAUUGAUGGUUUUGCUACAUUAUGAUCUUAUUAUGUCUCCUUUGAGAUGUGGAUAUGUAAGUAGAUUUAGGCUCAAUGCUGAAAGAUCUUAUUGAACUCCUGUUAGCGAUCAGCAUCCAGGUGACAAACCAGUCCCCAAAUCAUGAAAUCAUCUUGAAAAAGGGAUGAGUUAUCUUUGAAGACCACUGAUUUGUUGUUCGCUGGCAGCUCUAAUCUCUAUUGAAUGGUGCCAUAUUGAUAUAUUUUUUGAGAUAGAACCUGAGAUAGAAUCCUGAUCUCCUAGCAUUCAAAGCACUCAAGGGCAAGGGUGCUGAUAUGCGAAGAUGCUUUGGUACAUAUUUUGUAAUCUAUCCACCAGCCGGCUGCUGAUGCCCAACUCGUUCUUGCCAGGGGGAUGGACAAAUUAUCCAACAUUUAACCUGCAUAGCCUGUGUACUGCUGAUUGCUUAUUUAACCCUCUUGCCUGCAUUGCAAGACCAUAUUUAUUAGAGUUGUUUGUAUUAUUUGUUUCUGUUUUUUUUUCCUUUUCCUUCUUAUAGCUGUUUAGGUAAAAUCAAAUAAAUAUAAAGNNNNNNNNNNNNNNNNNNNNUUAUUGUCAUGCAGUAAUUUUAAUGAGGGAUCAGUGCUAUGAGCCCGCAUAUUCCUGCGAAAUCAAAAGAACAUGGCGUUGCAUAGUUUAGCAUGUCAUUAACUGGCAGAUAGAUUAACAGAAAACCUACAGUAAUGAGUUUUUUGAUGCUUCUUUUUUUCUUAUGUAGUUUUUCUUUUUUAGUGGGAAAGAAGGGGCACUGCUGGUAUUUCCUUGUUGAUGCCAAACUUAUUUUUAUUGAUCAUACAGUGAUUGCAGUGUAGUUGCUUUAGUAUUGGAGACAUAGAUGCCUAUAGCCUACAAUGCCUGCAAUAUUGACCUUAUAAAUUAUCAAUAUAAUCUACAUGGUGAAGUUUGACUUCCAGGGAUUUUCUGAUGCUUGCCUAUUCUAUUUUCUCUCUUGGUUUGCCUUGAGGCAUGAGCUUCAUAAAAUUUUUACCUCUGAAGUUUUUGUUUUCUGCCACUUAUAAAGAAAUACUACACUUUCCAGAUUCUUUGGGCUUCAUAUCUGUUUGUAACCAGGAUUUUAAAACUCGGUUUGGUCUCCAAGUUGAGCUUUGGUUUCGGUAGUUUCACUCUAAGUUUCAAAGCUUUGGUAAAGUGAAGAAAAAAUCCAUAAAAAAUAAAAAUUAGGAUAAAUAAAAGAAACUGAGGCAAGUUAUUUUACAUCAUUUUAUUAUGUUUUGAGUUAUUUGCAGUGAUAAUUUGUGCAGCUUAGGUAGUUUUAGGCUGAAAAUUCUUGUACCCUCUAAUAAUUUCCCCUCAGAGAUUUUUUUUCACCCUUUUGGAAGUUUGAGGAUUAUAUAUCUUCAAACUACUAAAACAAACCUAUCUAUUCAAUUAGAAACUUAGGAUAGACUGAGGAUAGAGACACUACACACCAGGUAGAAUCCUAUCUCUAAUGUCCUUAAUAGUGACUGCAAGUAGCCCUUUAUUUAUCAAUAAUCACAUGCUAUCAACAAACAAAUGAGUAUAGAUAGAGAUAGAAAAGCAAAAAAAAAAAAAGGCAUUCCGGGUUGUCGAGCCUAACCACCCCUCUUUUUUCUCUUCUUUUUCUGCAGCAUCUAAGCUUUGUUGUAAUGUUUCAAAUUUGAAAUCACAUUUCAUAAAAAAAUUGAGAUCACAUAAAUGUCUUAAUGCCUGAUGAUCGAUGCGGUAAUGAAUAAAUUUGUGUUUGAAUGAAAUUAUUGAUGAAUAAUAUUAAUGAUUAAAUGAUAUUAAUGAGUUUUAUAAAAUAGUAAGCACAUUUACUCUGGCAAUUUGAAAAAAGGAAAAAAAAACAAAAACAGCUGUUUCGGUCAGUUUUGGCUAAAACUGACCAGAACCAACCGAAACCGACCGAAACUGACAGAAACUUGAAACUCUCUUGUAACACAAGCCUUCUAUUCCGUAAAACUGGUCUUACUUUUGUGAACAAUUGGAGAGAUUUUGCUUCAUGUAGAUAGACAUCAAUAAGAAGGUAAGGAAGAGCAUCACAUGUUUUGAAACUGGUUUUGAAUGUUUUGUUUUAGCUCCACCCUAAAGAAGUUUCACUUUCUAAACCUUCUAAAAGUAUGUGCAACAACUCAUUGGGAAUAUUGAAUAAGUUAUCAUCAGCUGAAAUCUUACGAACUUCAGUACUAAGCCUUAACUAAGAGGCUUUACCUGUCUCUCUGGGUCUGGUUUUAUGAUCCUCAUGUAUUGGGUUGUGCUCUGAUCACCAUUAAUGUUUGUGUUCUUUUUUUAGUUUUGUAACUUUUGGGUGAAUUUCAGAUUUCAUUAACUGGAAAAGAGACCUGGAGUCGUCAUCUCUGUUGUAUCUACCCUUGACAUACCUUAGAGGACUUGCAUCCUAAAUUUACCAGAUAAAUUUAGGGAAGGAUGUCUGCUAAACCAUGGAUACUUACAAAUCACAUCCCUUUCACUGUUUUCGCUCCCCUCUAACCAAAAAAAAAAAAACACAAGAACUGCUAAGGGACAAGGGAAAACAGUGCUGCUUUUCCCAGGUCGAUGUUUGGAAUUAUAUCAAUCUAUAGAAAGGAAAGUCACAAAUUAUUGUGCUUGGUUUUUCAAUACUGAAGAUAAAAGGAAGCAUUUUAUGGACAUCUGAACCUGGAAUAUUUAUUCUCCUUUUUUGUUUAACUUCUUGGUUUUCAUAUAUGAUGUUGAUCUAUUAACUCCCUGCUUAUUUCAGGUCCAAGCUCUUGUUGGUUUCGAAAAGACCAUCAAGCAUCUUGAUGAACAUUUAGUGGAAAUUGGCACAAAGGUUUGCAAAUAACCAUGAUCUUGGUCAGCCAUAUGAACUUGUCAAUUUUCCUCCACUUUUUAAAUGAUUUGGUCAAAAUUUGCAGGGAAUCACUAAACCUAAAGAGGUGAGGAAGUUCAAAGGGGAAGGCAUGCCUUUGCACCUAAGUACAAAGAAAGGAGAUUUGUAUGUGACGUAUGAAGUUUUGUUCCCCAAGUCACUAACCGAAGAUCAGAAGACUAGGAUCAAGGCAAUUCUUUCUUAAAGCUGGCGUUCUCUCCAUUGGUACUACUUGGUUCUCCUUUGUACUUUGACUAGGUUUAAUUGGAAGGUGUACAGCCCCUGGAAUUUUCCCAAGUGGCUCCUAUUUGAAUGAUGUCAUUGACUGUAAUCCUUGUUGGCUGCCUGUUUCCAUAGGAUGCUGUCACCUCUUCUCUUUUUUUCCCCCUUUCUUUUUUUUUAAAAUUUUUUUGGGCAAUAGAUGUACUUUAGAAAAGGAAACUGAUUAAUUGGAAUUUGAUCCU